UACGGAGAGUGCAAACGUUGUUCGGAUUCACUGGGCGUAAAGGGCUCGUAGGCGGUUUGUCGCGUCGGGAGUGAAAACACCGGGCUUAACUCGGUGCUUGCUUUCGAUACGGGCAGACUAGAGGCAUGCAGGGGAGAACGGAAUUCCUGGUGUAGCGGUGAAAUGCGCAGAUAUCAGGAGGAACACCGGUGGCGAAGGCGGUUCUCUGGGCAUGUCCUGACGCUGAGGAGCGAAAGCGUGGGGAGCGAACAGG
rnacentral:rRNA from 1 species